rfam:Myotis lucifugus cont2.38586, whole genome shotgun sequence.
GAGACACCCUUAUGGAGCAGGACUUGCUUCAGUGGGACUUUGGUGUUCACUAAGUCUGCCCCUUGAGUGUGUCACU